CGUGAUGAGUGGUGCACACAGUGCUCCAUUGUUUUCAGCUCCUCCAAACUCUGCAGUUCUUCCUGCAAUUGCCAAAAAGUGAAGACGACCACUUUAUUUGCAAGCAAAUAUUCAUUUACGGGACUUCAUUGGUGACGUAGAUUUGAAGAAAAGGAAAAUAGUCUUAAAGCCUUCCUCAGGAGAGAGAUUUACUUACAAAUUUUUUCAGCGAAUAAGGUAUUCUGAACCCUGGCCAGUGUGCACUUCCCCUACAAUGAAAGAGGCACAAGAGGCAAACCGGUUUGCACACA